CCUACGGGUGGCAGCAGUGAGGAAUAUUGGUCAAUGGACGAGAGUCUGAACCAGCCAAGUAGCGUGAAGGAUGACUGCCCUAUGGUUUGUAAACUUCUUUUAUAUGGGAAUAAAAUGUUCCACGUGUGGGUUUUUGUAUGUACCAUAUGAAUACGGAUCGGCUAACUCCGUGCCAGCAGCCGCGGUAAUACGGAGGAUACGAGCGUUAUCCGGAUUUAUUGGGUUGAAAGGGAUCGUAGGUGGAUUGCUAAGUCAGUUGUGAAAGUUUGCGGCUCAACCGUAAAAUUGCAGUUGAAACUGGCAGUCUUGAGUACAGUAGAGGUGGGCGGAAUUCGUGGUGUAGCGGUGAAAUGCUUAGAUAUCACGAAGAACUCCGAUUGCGAAGGCAGCUCACUGGACUGCAACUGACACUGAGGCUCGAAAGUGUGGGUAUCAAACAGGAUUAGAUACCCCUGUAGUC
rnacentral:rRNA from 1 species